rnacentral:antisense_RNA from 1 species
AGUAUUUGGUAUCUGCGCUCUGCUGAAGCCAGUUACCAGGUUAAGCAGUUCCCCAACUGACUUAACCUUCGAAAAACCACCUCCCCAGGUGGUUUUUUCGU